AUUGAACGCUGGCGGCAGGCCUAACACAUGCAAGUCGAACGAGUGGCGGACGGGUGAGUAAUGUCUGGGAAACUGCCCGCUGGCGGGGGAUAACUACUGGACACGGUAGCUAAUACCGCAUACCAUCGGAUGUGCCCAGAUGGGAUUAGCUAGUAGGUGGGGUAACGGCUCACCUAGGCGACGAUCCCUAGCUGGUCUGAGAGGAUGACCGUCCAUACUGGAACUGAGACACGGGCCGGACUCCUACGGGAGGCAGCAGUGGGGAAUAUUGCACAAUGGGAGCAAGCCUGAGAUAGCCAUGCCACGUGUAUGAAGAAGGCGUGCGGGUUGGAUAGUACUUUCAGCGAGGAGGAGUUACUCGCAGAAGAAGCACCGGCUAACGCCGUGCCAGCAGCCGCGGUAAUAC
rnacentral:rRNA from 1 species